rnacentral:rRNA from 1 species
GAUGAACGCUGGCGGCGUGCCUAAUACAUGCAAGUCGAGCGAACAGACGAGGAGCUUGCUCCUCUGACGUUAGCGGCGGACGGGUGAGUAACACGUGGAUAACCUACCUAUAAGACUGGGAUAACUUCGGGAAACCGGAGCUAAUACCGGAUAAUAUAUUGAACCGCAUGGUUCAAUAGUGAAAGACGGUUUUGCUGUCACUUAUAGAUGUAUCCGCGCCGCAUUAGCUAGUUGGUAAGGUAACGGCUUACCAAGGCAACGAUGCGUAGCCGACCUGAGAGGGUGAUCGGCCACACUGGAACUGAGACACGGUCCAGACUCCUACGGGAGGCAGCAGUAGGGAAUAUUCCGCAAUGGGCGAAAGCCUGACGGAGCAACGCCGCGUGAGUGAUGAAGGUCUUCGGAUCGUAAAACUCUGUUAUUAGGGAAGAACAAAUGUGUAAGUAACUAUGCACGUCUUGACGGUACCUAAACAGAAAGCCACGGCUAACUACGUG